rnacentral:rRNA from 2 species
AAACGACUCUCGGCAACGGAUAUCUCGGCUCACGCAUCGAUGAAGAACGUAGCAAAAUGCGAUACUUGGUGUGAAUUGCAGAAUCCCGUGAACCAUCGAGUUUUUGAACGCAAGUUGCGCCCAAACCCAUCCGCCCGAGGGCACGCCUGCCUGGGCGUCACG